rnacentral:rRNA from 1 species
GACGAACGCUGGCGGCGUGCCUAAUACAUGCAAGUCGAGCGAAGCGGCGGAUGGGUGGGUAACGCGUGGGUAACCUGCCCUUAAGUCUGGGAUACCAUUUGGAACCAGAUGCUAAUACCGGAUACUACAGGAUUGUCCUGCGGUGCAUUACCUAGUUGGUAAGGUCACGGCUUACCAAGGCGAUGAUGCAUAGCCGAGGUGAGAGACUGAUCGGCCACAUUGGGACUGAGACACGGCCCAAACUCCUACGGGAGGCAGCAGUAGGGAAUCUUCCACAAUGGACGAAAGUCUGAUGGAGCAACGCCGCGUGAGUGAAGAAGGUUUUCGGAUCGUAAAGCUCUGUUGUUGGUGAAGCGGUAAUCAACCAGAAAGUCACGGCUAACUACGUGCCAGUAGCCGCGGUAAUUC